rnacentral:snRNA from 1 species
GUUCUUAUCAGUUUAAUAUCUGAUACGUCCCCCAUCAGGGGACUACAUAUUAAAUGGAUUUUUCAAACAUGGAGUCGGAAAUGGGGCUUGCUCCUUCCGCUCCACGCAUCGACCUGGUAUUGCAGUACCUCCGGGAACGGUGC